rnacentral:rRNA from 1 species
GAGACGCUAAGGCGUCGAAGUAGUGUAUGUCAUACUUCCAAGAAAAGCUUGCACUGUCAUAAGUAAAAAAUGCCUGUACCAUAACCGACACAGGUGGGUAGGUAGAGUAUACUAAGGGGCGCGAGAUAACUCUCUCUAAGGAACUCGGCAAAAUGGCUCCGUAACUUCGGGAGAAGGAGUGCCUUAUUUAUAAGGUUGCAAUAACAAGAUCCAAGCAACUGUUUAUCAAAAACACAGGUCUCCGCUAAGUCGUAAGACGAUGUAUGGGGGCUGACGCCUGCCCAGUGCCAGAAGGUUAAAGAAGUUGGUUAGUGUAUGCGAAGCUGAUGACUGAAGCCCUGGUGAACGGCGGCCGUAACGAUAACGGUCCUAAGGUAGCGAAAUUCCUUGUCGGGUAAGUUCCGACCCGCACGAAAGGCGUAAUGAUUUGGAUACUGUCUCGGAGAGAGGCUCGGUGAAAUAGACUUGUCUGUGAAGAUGCGGACUACCUGCACCAGGACAGAAAGACCCUAUGAAGCUUUACUGUAACUUGAAAUUGGAAUUGGACUUUGCUUGCGCAGUAUAGGUGGGAAGCGUUGAAAAUAUUCUUGCGGGAGUAUUGGAGCUAUCAGUGAGAUACCACUCUUGUAAUGUUAGAUUUCUAACUAAACCAUAAUCUGGUCAAAGAACAGUUUCAGGUGGGCAGUUUGACUGGGGCGGUCGCCUCCCAAAUGGUAACGGAGGCGUACAAAGGUUUCCUCUGAACGGAUAGAAAUCGUAUCUAGAGUGUAAAGGCAUAAGGAAGCUUGACUGUGAGACCUACAAGUCGAGCAGGGACGAAAGUCGGUCUCUUGAUCUGACGGUACUGAGUGGAAAGGCCGUCACUCAACGGAUAAAAGUUACUCUAGGAUAACAGGCUGAUCUCCCCCAAGAGUUCACAUCGACGGGGAGGUUUGGCACCUCGAUGUCGGCUCAUCGCAUCCUGGGGCGGUAGUACGUCCCAAGGGUUGGGCUGUUCGCCCAUGAAAGCGGUACGCGAGCUGGGUUCAGAACGUCGUGAGACAGUUCGGUCCAUAUCCGGUGUAGGCGCUAGAAUAUUGAGAGGAGCCUUCUUUAGUACGAGAGGACCGAGAAGGACACACCGCUGGUGUACCAGUUAUCGUGCCAACGGUAAACGCUGGGUAGCUAUGUGUGGAGUGGAUAACCGCUGAAAGCAUCUAAGUGGGAAGCCCACCUCGAGAUGAGUAUUCUC